CGGGAGUGCCGCGACACCGUGUACGGCAUCCUCGACGGCGUCGUCCAGGAGCACCUGGAGAGGAUGGGCGGCGGCGGAGGCCACGACGAGGACCUGCUCUACGUGCUGCUGAGGAUCCAGAAGGAAGGUGCGCUCCAGUUUCCGCUCGACAUGGACGUCAUCAAGUCCGUCAUCUUCGACGUAUUCGGCGCUGGCAGCGAGACAUCAGCUACAACGCUGGAGUGGGCCAUGGCGGAGCUGGUCAAGAACCCCAGGGUCAUGCAAAAGGCAACGGCGGAGCUGCGGCAAACUUUCCAUGCCCGUGGUACAGUGACUGAGCAUGCUCUAAGAGAGCUCACUUAUCUACACCUUGUCAUCCGAGAGACGUUGCGAUUACACACACCCCUACCGUUGUUGCUCCCGCGCGAGUGCCAGGAAUCAUGCCAGGUGUUGGGAUACGAUGUGCCACGUGGCACGCAAGUGAUCGUCAAUGCCUGGGCGUUGGGCCGCGAUGAGCGCUACUGGCCCGGCGUGCCUGAGGAGUUUCGACCAGAACGGUUUGAGGGGGAAGCGGCGUCGGACUUUGGGGGUGGCGACUUUGCGUUCCUUUCAUUUGGCGCUGGCCGGCGGAUGUGCCCUGGGAUGGCGUUAGGCCUCGCCAACGUGGAGCUCGCACUCGCGAGCCUGCUCUUCCACUUCGACUGGGAGUGCUCAGGGCCAAGCUCGGAGCUCGACAUGACUGAAGCAUUCGGCCUCACCGCGCGGCUUAACAACAAGCUUCUAUUGCGCCCUGUUCUCCGUGUGCUUGUUCCUAGGGUCUAG
rnacentral:rRNA from 1 species